UCUGGGCCAUUACUGACGCUGAGGAGCGAAAGCGUGGGGAGCGAACAGGAUUAGAUACCCUGGUAGUCCACGCUGUAAACGUUGGGAACUAGGUGUUGGCGACAUUCCACGUCGUAGGAGCCGCAGC
rnacentral:rRNA from 1 species